rnacentral:rRNA from 1 species
GAUGAACGCUGGCGGCGUGCUUAACACAUGCAAGUCGAGCGAGUGAGUUCUUCUGAACGAUCUAGCGGCGGACGGGUGAGUAACACGUGGGCAACCUGCCUCAUAGAGGGGAAUAGCCUCCCGAAAGGGAGAUUAAUACCGCAUAAAAUUAUCGAGUGGCAUCACAUGAUAAUCAAAGGAGUAAUCCGCUAUGAGAUGGGCCCGCGGCGCAUUAGCUAGUUGGUGAGGUAACGGCUCACCAAGGCGACGAUGCGUAGCCGACCUGAGAGGGUGGUCGGCCACAUUGGGACUGAGACACGGUCCAGACUCCUACGGGAGGCAGCAGUGGGGAAUAUUGCACAAUGGGGGAAACCCUGAUGCAGCAAUGCCGCGUGAGUGAUGACGGCCUUCGGGUUGUAAAGCUCUGUCUUCGGGGACGAUAAUGACGGUACCCGAGGAGGAAGCCACGGCUAACUACGUGCCAGCCGCCGCGGUAA